GUAACAAGGUUUCCGUAGGUGAACCUGCGGAAGGAUCAUUAUCUAUUCCAUGAGGUGCGGUCGCGGCCCUCGGCGGGAGCAACAGCUGCCGUCGGGCGGUAGAGGUAACACUUUCACGCGCCGCAUGUCUGAAUCCUUUUUUUACGAGCACCUUUCGUUCUCCUUCGGCGGGGCAACCUGCCGUUGGAACCUAUCAAAACCUUUUUUUGCAUCUAGCAUUACCUGUUCUGAUACAAACAAUCGUUACAACUUUCAACAAUGGAUCUCUUGGCUCUGGCAUCGAUGAAGAACGCAGCGAAAUGCGAUAAGUAGUGUGAAUUGCAGAAUUCAGUGAAUCAUCGAAUCUUUGAACGCACAUUGCGCCCCUUGGUAUUCCAUGGGGCAUGCCUGUUCGAGCGUCAUCUACACCCUCAAGCUCUGCUUGGUGUUGGGCGUCUGUCCCGCCUCUGCGCGCGGACUCGCCCCAAAUUCAUUGGCAGCGGUCCUUGCCUCCUCUCGCGCAGCACAUUGCGCUUCUCGAGGUGCGCGGCCCGCGUCCACGAAGCAACAUUACCGUCUUUGACCUCGGAUCAGGUAGGGAUACCCGCUGAACUUAAGCAUAUCAAUAA
rnacentral:misc_RNA from 1 species